rnacentral:rRNA from 1 species
UACAGAGGUCUCAAGCGUUGUUCGGAUUCAUUGGGCGUAAAGGGUGCGUAGGUGGCGGGGUAAGUCAGGUGUGAAAUCUCGAGGCUCAACCUCGAAACUGCACUUGAUACUGCCUUGCUAGAGUACUGGAGAGGAGACUGGAAUUUACGGUGUAGCGGUGAAAUGCGUAGAUAUCGUAAGGAAGACCAGUGGCGAAGGCGGGUCUCUGGACAGUUCCUGACGCUGAGGCACGAAGGUCAGGGGAGCAAACGGG